rnacentral:rRNA from 1 species
GACAGAGGAUGCAAGCGUUAUCCGGAAUGAUUGGGCGUAAAGCGUCUGUAGGUGGCUUUUUAAGUCCGCCGUCAAAUCCCAGGGCUCAACCCUGGACAGGCGGUGGAAACUACCAAGCUGGAGUACGGUAGGGGGCACGAGGGAAUUUCCGGUGGAGCGGUGAAAUGCGUUGAGAGAGUACGGAAAGAACACCCAGCGGAGAACGCAGCCUCGUCGUCUGGGCCGAACACUGAACAGGCUGGAG